rnacentral:rRNA from 1 species
GCGAAGAAAGAAAAAAAUGACUCAUAACUUUGUGGGAGGUGCCUUCCUGUCUAAGGCCGUCCAAGGCCAAGAUGAACAUUUUCCAUCGGCAAUGAGGGAUGUACACAUUCGGUGAGCGGCCGGGCGGCUGCCGGGAAACCAAGGCAGUUGGGUACCGGGGGGAGAAUGGCAGCCAAGCUGAAAAUUAACGGACUUGACGGAAAGGCCCCUUGUAGAGUGGAGCCUGCGGCUUAAUUUGACUCAACAAGGGAAACCUCACCCGGCCCGGACACGGACAGGAUUGACAGAUUGAUAGCUCUUUCUCGAUUCCGUGGGUGGUGGUGCAUGGCCGUUCUUAGUUGGUGGAGCGAUUUGUCUGGUUAAUUCCGAUAACGAACGAGACUCUGGCAUGCUAACUAGUUACGCGACCCCCGAGCGGUCGGCGUCCCCCAACUUCUUAGAGGGACAAGUGGCGUUCAGCCACCCGAGAUUGAGCAAUAACAGGUCUGUGAUGCCCUUAGAUGUCCGGGGCUGCACGCGCGCUACACUGACUGGCUCAGCGUGUGCCUACCCUACGCCGGCAGGCGCGGGUAACCCGUUGAA